GUUUGUUCGAGUAUGGAUAUACAGAUUAAGAGAUGCAGAAGCUCUUGAGGCACAUUCAAAUCCAACUUUUUCAAAAAUCCACCAGCAUACAUAAGAGAGAUGGCAGAGGCAUUCAAGAGGAGUUUCAGAGGCUGGUUUACAAGCAAGAAAUAUAAAGAUCAAGCUCACUGGAUGAAAUACUGUUGCAACAUACAGACAUGAGAAAGAAAAGCUGGAAAAAACACAAGGGAAUAACAGCGAUUGUCUUUAGCCUAUAUGUCUGCAACAGAUAGUGCUACCCUCAUAUGGGGAACCCUGGAAGAUACCACAUAUCACAGAAAACCCACUACACUGCCAGCCCUUAAGAAAAAAUUGAAAAUGCAUGUGCAGCAAUCUCAAUGACCAAGAUUACUCAAG
rnacentral:lncRNA from 1 species